rfam:Cryptococcus amylolentus CBS 6039 supercont1.1, whole genome shotgun sequence.
GAUGCGAUCGGAUAGUGGUUAUUCCGCCACAUUGCUAUAUAUGUGUUACAUAAUAAUGUGGUGCCUUCGGGCUCGUGAGUUCGAAUCUCACUCGCGUCA